GUGCUAAGUUUAAUGUCUUCAGUCGGAUGCUAUAAGGGAGUCUCAGUUAUAAUAAACUCAGAAACAUCCCUCAAGGUUUCAAAAAGAUAGGAUCAAUCAGGAGGCCUUAUCAUCAUGACAGAAAAAUAUCUGUAGAGUGUUUUAUAAUGAUUAGCCCAGACCAGAAGAGUGUACUAGGCAAGCAUGCUAUACCAGAAUCUAAAAAUAUUAUUAUGAUGAUCAGAAAGGGUUUAUAUUUGUUGAACCG
rnacentral:lncRNA from 1 species